UGUAUCUGAAGUCUGACGAGGAUGAGAACCUCCGGGGGCAAGAGGUUCGACUCGAGCGAAGCGAGAGAACGUUGCGUCAGCAACGGCCCGCAGGGCGAGCCACGCAGUGGCGAGUCAUCCUCUAUCACCGGCAG
rnacentral:sRNA from 22 species